UUUCCGUAGGUGAACCUGUGGAAGGAUCAUUAAAAAUUCUGCCAUUGUUUGGUGGAAACAAUAAUCAUCCUACCUUUGUGAAUUGUUGUUGUAAUAAUUUUUAAAAGAAAAUUAUUACUGUCUAUCCUGGAUAGUAAAGUUGAAGGAGUAAUCUAGAAACUUUUGCUUUCAGGAUAGUAUGUAUAAAUUUUCAUUUAAAGACUUUUUUUAAAUUAAACUUUGUAUUCAUUGUUAAAAUUUAUUUUAAAUAAUUUAAAAACAACUUUGACAAUGGAUCUCUUGGUUCUCGCAACGAUGAAGAACGCAGCAAAUGCGAUAAGUAGUGUGAAUUGCAGAAUACGUGAAUCAUCAAAUCUCGAACGCAUAUUGCACUUUUUAGUUUACUAAAAAGUAUGUCUGUUUGAGUAUCAGUAAAAUAUUCUCAAUAAACUUUUUGUUUAUUGGUUAUGAGUGUUUACAACGAUACAAGUUGUUUCACUUUAAAUUGACUUAUAUAAACUAUCCAUUUAGGUCAAUUUUUAAAUGGAUAAAAUUUCCUGUAAAAAGGGAAUAACUUGACAGUUUAAAGAAGAUCUAAAAGGUUUCUUAAAGGAAAUUUAUAAUAACUAACUUGAUCUCAAUCAGAUAAGAGUACCGCUGAACUUAAGCAUAUCAAUAGCGGAGGAAAGAAACUAACAAGGAUUCCCUAGUAACGGCGAGUGAAGCGGAAGAGCUCAAUUGAAAUCUUCAAGGUUUCCCUUGACGAAUUGUAGUUAUAGAAGUGUUUCUGUUAGAGAGGUGUAAAAGUUCUUUGAAUAGGACAUCAUAGAGGGUGAGAAUCCGUAUUGAUCACUUUCUACUAACGUUGUGAUACACUUUCAACGAGUCGGAUUGUUUGGGAAUGCAGUCCAAAAUGGGUGUAAAUUCAUCUAAAGCUAAUAUUGGCGAGAGACCGAUAGCGAACAAGUACCGUGAGGGAAAGAUGAAAGAACUUUGAAAGAGAGUUAACAGUACGUGAAAUUGUCAAAGGGAAGCGUUGACACCAGUGUUGUUUUCCGAAAAUCAAUUACGAAUGGCGGAUUCUAAGUUCAUGACUUAAAGCUUGUUUCUUUCUUUCCUGUCUUCUUAAUCACUUUCGGUUAACAAGUCAACAUCAAUUUCUUUGUUGUAAAGUUAAGAGGAAGUGCUUUACUUCGGUAAAGUGUUAUAGCCUUUAACUCUGCAAUCGGAGAGAUUGAGGUCUGCAGCGUAGAUCCUUCGGGCUAGAUACGUUUGUGCUAAGUUAUAGCUUUCAUAGACAACUUGUUGACUAUGUUUAGUCUUGUAGCUUACUCGCAGAUGCUAUU
rnacentral:misc_RNA from 1 species